UGAUAUUUUCCAAGCAGCAGUCUCUAUGGCAGCUCAUCUCUGGAGGCCUCACUGCGGUGCUGUGGGAGUCCUCGCAUUUUCUUUAUAAAGCUCAAUAUCACAAAUCAAGGGGUUUUACGAUCAACGUUAUGACACUCUCGAAUCAGACGAGGAAAUACUCCCUAAAAGAAGUCUGAAAAAAACUGGAUUAAAAAUGGAAGAAACUACAGGGAGAGACAGACGACCUCCUCUCCGCCACACAAACUACACAAACAUACAAGAGGCAAAACCAAGCACAUCAUUCACACGGGCAGGAGAAGAAAACAAACACACACAGAGGGAGAGAGACAAGGACGAGGCUGAGACUCCUGGAGGACGAAGAUCCAGAUCCAAAACAUCUGGAACGAGGCAGGAGAAGGAGAGAGGGUCCAGGACAGACGAUGGUCCAACACAGAGAGAGAGAGACGUGAGAGCAGGACAUGGGCAACUUCAUAGAGCUACCAGGCGAGGAGAGGUCAGCGGCCAUCUUGAAAAUGACCACACCUUUCAGGACCUGCGGCAGAGAUUCACCAGUUCUCAGAGUGCUGCUGCCGCCGGACGGAGGGACGUCCUGUGAGACUCUUGUGAGAGUCCAGACCGACUCGACUACUGCGAUGCUUUUCUGGCGGACCUCUCUUCACGCACAGUGAAACCCGUACAGGUGGCCAUGAAUGCAACGGCACAUCUGGUCUUCGAUCAGCCUAAAAGGGGACAGGUCACUCCGCUACUCAUCGGCCUCCACUGGCUACCCAUGUUCCACCUGAAUCAAACUGGAGUCACUAACGCUGCCUUCUGCACCAUCUACUUAAACUCAUUCUCAGCCACUGUGGUCCUCCAUCACCAUCGCUGCACACAAGGAAGUCUCAGUCCAGACGUUUCUCGUCUGUGGUUCCCUGACGGUGGAACAAGCUACUCCAUGCUCUCAAAGAGCACCUCCUCUCCUAACACCUCUCACACCCCAACAUGGGUGCACUUCCUCACCUGAUGUCCUGGCACUUCACCUUACUGAACAGAUUUAUAUCUAGUAUUUACACCAAGGUCUCCUGCUGCAGUGAAGCGUUAGUGUAAGACACUUUUUCUCACUUUAUUCUGAGGUCAAACUUAUUGAACAGAAAACAUGUUCAUGCACGACAACAGUUGCUACAGAGAGAAAUCAAUGAUGUUUGUGUUUCUCUUGUUGUAUAUGUUGUUGUAUUGUGUUCACCUGCCCGGGGACUGCAGAGACUCGCAAGUCGCUUUGGAUGACAGCGUCUCACAAGUUUGGUAAAUGUAAAUGUAAAUGUGAGGCCUGAGCAGAAGAGCAGUUAAAGACAGAAAACAAUUUACAAGGAGGGAAACACAAGACUGAGACAGGAAGUAAAACUAAACAAAGAGUUUGUUUCUUUAGAAUAUAUUCAUUCUCUGAUCCCUCUGUUUUGUUGUAUUUAUAGUUUAGUCGGUGUGUUUGUGUCGUUGUUUCUGACGUGGUCUGAUCAGGUCAGUUUUGUUGUUGUUUGGUCUGUUCAGUUAUAUAUUAUAUUCAGUUAUAUAAUGAGCCCCAGAACUUCUGUUGAUGAUUUAUCCAUAAUAAUUGUGGGCUGUCGGCUCAGUCCCUCUCAGUGGCCUUGGCAUGUGUCUACCAGCCUCACAGCAUCAUGCUCACUGACCCCACGUUACUGUGUCACUGAGUAAUGUCACUGACCUCCGCUCACAUGACUGCCUGUUUGAUGUAAGUCACACUCGAGGUGGGAGAUACGGGAAACGGCAAACCAGAUGGAAAAGACGGACGAACUGGAGUUCAAAGGGUGUUUUGACAAAAACAAUGUGAUUAAAAGAGGAAGGCAGACAUGGAAAUCAUGCCACUACUUCUACUCUUCUUCUACUUUGGUGCAUCCACGUUGUUGAUGUCAAUGAAACUUCCAUCUACACCUGAACCUUAGUAUCUGUUAUAUGAUUCAUACCAUCAAACAUGUUUGUUAGCUCACUCUUUUAGCAAAUGUGUGUUAGUCUGCAGCUUAAAAUAGACUCCGACAAAUUCACCAUUUAAGGCCUGAUAAAAACUACAGUGCCCAGUUGUUUUAGGGAAAUAUUUAGCCCUUUUUUUUUUCUUAACUGUAUAUUUGUGCUUGGGGGGAAAAAAAAUGUAGGCUGCAGACCAGAGGCGGGGUAGAAAGUCAGACAGUAUCAAGAGACGAAUAAAAACAUUCCUGCUUCUGGACUUUUCAUGGGAUUUGUUGAAAAGAAAAAUAUAGAAAAUGCCACAUACACCCUUUAACUGAAAUGUCUGAACCUCUUUCAGCUCAAUCCUGCAUGAUGGCGUCUGUGUUUCUGUGAGGAAAGCUGAAAUUAUUUCUCUUUUCAUUUGCAUCUGUGUUGAACGGUGUAAUAAUCAAAUGUAAAGUCAGAAAGUCUGGCUGUUUGGCUGUUUGGCUGUUUUCCACCUGUUCCUCCCCGUGUUUCUGGUAAAAAGAUUACACUGACACAUACACUGUCAUGUCUCUUCCUCUUUUCUUGUUUUACAGCUGUAUCGUCAUCCACCUCUGAGUCUGUUCCUCUUUACCCCACCCAAUCCUUUCUCCUCUCUCAUCAUUCCUCUCCUCCUUCAGCCCUAAAUCCUCUCGGUUAUUAUCUGGUUUAUUGUGGUUGAGUCAUCACAUGAGUGAGGCAAUAGCUGUGAGGACUUCAGAGACCAGCUGCUGCUGCUCUUGUGGUUGUCAGGGACCAAAUAACUUGACUUAUUGUUGCAACCUUAACAAUGACACAAAUUUCAUCUCGGAAAAUGUUUCCUGAGCGAAAGUUUUUCUCCGGUCACGUCUUUAAUAUAUCUCCAAGGUUUGUGUCACAGUGCUGCACACACACUUUAGUAGCUUCUAAAAAAAAAUCUUGUAACUGUAUUGUAAGGUAUUACUACUUCUACAAAAACACUGUAGAUUUGUAAAUUUGUUUCUACGAUAUGUGAUGAUUAUUGCCCGGAGAAAAUAGUGCCGGUUCACUGUGAUCCGGCGUCUGUUUGCUUUUGCACAGGAGAGUCACAAAGACACGCAGCACAUGAAGAAAGAGAUAAAGAUCUGGGUUCAAGUGAUAUCCAGCACAAACAAAUGACAUGUCUCUGUAGGUUAAGUCUUAUUUCUUCAGUCUCUACAUUUAUUUAUAAAAGUGAACGUGUUUUAUGUUUAAUGUGCAUGAUUUUGCAUGUUGUUGUUCACAUGUAAACUGACAGAAAUACAGGAGCUGUUGUGAAGAAUGAUAAAAGAGAACUUGAGAAAGAACUUUAAAGUGUAAGUUGUUGUCAGACCUCUG